AUUAUACUCCCUCCGUCCGAAAAUACUUGUCAUCAAAAUGGACAAAAAGAGAUGUAUCUCGAACUAAAAUACAUCUAGAUACAUCUCCUUUUAUCCAUUUUGGUGAUAAAUAUUUUCGGACGGAGGGAGUAGCUA
rnacentral:pre_miRNA from 1 species